rnacentral:rRNA from 1 species
UGGGGAAUAUUGCACAAUGGGCGCAAGCCUGAUGCAGCCAUGCCGCGUGUGGGAAGAAGGCCUUCGGGUUGUAAAGCACUUUCAGCGGGGAGGAAGGCGAUAAGGUUAAUAACCUCAUCGAUUGACGUUACCCGCAGAAGAAGCACCGGCUAACUCCGUGCCAGCAGCCGCGGUAAUACGGAGGGUGCAAGCGUUAAUCGGAAUUACUGGGCGUAAAGCGCACGCAGGCGGUCUGUCAAGUCGGAUGUGAAAUCCCCGGGCUCAACCUGGGAACUGCAUUCGAAACUGGCAGGCUAGAGUCUUGUAGAGGGGGGUAGAAUUCCAGGUGUAGCGGUGAAAUGCGUAGGGAUCUGGAGGAAUACCGGUGGCGAAGGCGGCCCCCUGGACAAAGACUGACGCUCAGGUGCGAAAGCGUGGGGAGCAAACAGG